GGAAAAUGUACAAACUCAUCUUGUUUGAGAACUGCUGAAUCAUGUUCUUAUUGGUUGAAUUGUCUUCUCUCAGAUCCAGUCAUUUAUUUUGUGUAAGAGUCCCAGGACCAAUACAAGACAGGAGCCUAAGUUGGGGUUAAAUUAGCAACCAUCCAACUAAGAAAAAAGAACUGAAAAACUUGCUGAUGGUCUAUCCAAACUUCAGUCCAUUCACUGUGAGAAAUCAUGAAGAAUAGAUAACUGAAGCUUUUUUCAAAGCACAUGAGGUGAAAAGGCUUGAAUGAAAGCAGCUGAAGAAUUAUAAAUGUUUAAGUAAAACAAUUAAAAUAAAAUAUGUUUUCAGUAAA